GGUUAGAGUGUAGAGGAGGCAGGUAGCCUAGUGGUUAGAGUGUAGAGGAGGCAGGUAGCCUAGUGGUUAGAGUGUAGAGGAGGUAGGGUAGCCUAGUGGUUAGAGUGUAGAGGAGGCAGGUAGCCUAGUGGUUAGAGUGUAGAGGUGGCAGGUAGCCUAGUGGUUAGAGUGUAGAGGAGGCAGGUAGCCUAGUGGUUAGAGUGUAGAGGAGGUAGGGUAGCCUAGUGGUUAGAGUGUAGAGGAGGCAGGUAGCCUAGUGGUUAGAGUGUAGAGGUGGCAGGUAGCCUAGUGGUUAGAGUGUAGAGGAGGCAGGUAGCCUAGUGGUUAGAGUGUAGAGGAGGCAGGUAGCCUAGUGGUUAGAGUGUAGAGGAGGCAGGUAGCCUAGUGGUUAGAGUGUAGAGGAGGCAGGUAGCCUAGUGAUUAGAGUGUAGAGGAGGCAGGUAGCCUAGUGGUUAGAGUGUAGAGGAGGCAGGUAGCCUAGUGGUUAGAGUGUAGAGGAGGUAGGUAGCCUAGUGGUUAGAGUGUAGAGGAGGUAGGUAGCCUAGUGGUUAGAGUGUAGAGGUGGCAGGUAGCCUAGUGGUUAGAGUGUAGAGGUGGCAGGUAGCCUAGUGGUUAGAGUGUAGAGGAGGUAGGUAGCCUAGUGGUUAGAGUGUAGAGGCGGCAGGUAGCCUAGUGGUUAGAGUGUAGAGGAGGCAGGUAGCCUAGUGGUUAGAGUGUAGAGGUGGCAGGUAGCCUGGUGGUUAGAGUGUAGAGGUGGCAGGUAGCCUAGUGGUUAGAGUGUAGAGGUGGCAGGUAGCCUAGUGGUUAGAGUGUAGAGGUGGCAGGUAGCCUAGUGGUUAGAGUGUAGAGGUGGCAGGUAGCCUAGUGGUUAGAGUGUAGAGGUGGCAGGUAGCCUAGUGGUUAGAGUGUAGAGGUGGCAGGUAGCCUAGUGGUUAGAGUGUAGAGGUGGCAGGUAGCCUAGUGGUUAGAGUGUAGAGGUGGCAGGUAGCCUAGUGGUUAGAGUGUAGAGGUGGCAGGUAGCCUAGUGGUUAGAGUGUAGGGACGGCAGGUAGCCUAGUGGUUAGAGUGUAGGGACGGCAUGUAGCCUAGUGGUUAGAGUGUAGAGGAGGCAUGUAGCCUAGUGGUUAGAGUGUAGA